rnacentral:tRNA from 1 species
AGGAUAAUAGUUUAUAAAAUAACAUUUAAGUUGCAUUUAAAAAAUAUUGAAUCUUCAAUUUAUCUUA